GUUCAUAUCUUGUUCAUAAAGUGCGUGUUGUUAGAAUACCUCUGAUAAUUAACCAUAGCCGGAAAUUUCGCGUAUCCUGGAAAGCGGACUCGACAGUUCCUAACUUUCAUUCGCAAGGUGCGUCCCUGCUUUCCAUAACACAUCAGACUAUGAUGUUCACAUAUCACUCGUGCGUGUUGGUGAUGAUUCUUGCGCUGUGCACGGGGGUCUCGAGGGGCCAGUGUCCAGAGAAGUGUCAUUGCGAAGGACUUCGGGUAAACUGCGAAGGACAAAAACUGUCGACCAUACCUCCUCCCCUACCCAACGCUACCGUCUUGGACCUACAGAACAACACGCUCGCAACCCUAACCGACGAUUCAUUAACAGGAUGGCAGAAUCUAACGGAACUGGAUUUGUCCAAGAACAUGCUCGCAUCCCUUUCUGACGAUGCCUUUAAAGCACUUCCGAAACUACAGAUACU